UUAUGAUAUUUUCUGUGACUACCAGUGUGAUGGGUUGGGUCACAGAAACCCCCUUGGGAACUGCCACCUGCUGUGCUGGGACUACCUGGAACCUGUUUUCCUUGGCAGCUUGGGACUUCAGUGCCCUGCCUGGUUGUGCCAGACAUGCUAGCCUGCUACAAACACAGACCCAGGUCUGAACCACGUCCCCCAAAAGCUGCAGGA